rnacentral:lncRNA from 10 species
CAGAAAGAAAGCUGAAUUAUGGGAAUCUGGGGUUGAUGAAACAGCCACAGAAUGAAAGCUGGAAUGUAUGGGAGGAACUAGACUGGAAUGGGUUUAGCACCUCAAUUAAUGCUGGACAGCUUCUCUGAAAAGUCUGUGACAAAUCCUCAGUCCCGCUCAGCAGGAACAAAUGCAGGGCCUUGAGCCCAGUCUCAGAAUUAUGGCCAUAGUUGUGGACUUGCCAUUUCAAUAAUAUGUGGAAAUGAAGAUGCUGGUAUUACCUAAUUGUACUUUCUCAGGAACAUCUUCAGGAAAAAAAGAAAAGAAAAAUUUGGACACAGACAUGUAUAGAGGGAGUCUAUGCAAAGAGACAUAGGAAGAAUGACAUGUGACUAUUGGACACAAACCCAGGACGAUCUGAGGAUACCAGAAGCUGGAAGAGCCGAAUAAGGACUUUCUCUUACAGGCUGCAGUAGAAGCAUGGCUCUGCCAACACCUUGCUUUGGACUUCUAGCCUCCAGAAAUGUGAGGCUACAACAGAAUGUGAGAAUACAUUCCUGUUGUUCUAAAUCACCCAGGUUUUGGUAGUUUGUAAUGGCAGCCUUAGGAAUAAUGAAAAACUAACAGUUAUUUUAAUUUACUAGCAUUAUAUGGACUCUGACUACGUAAAUACAGCUUUGGAGGAUUUAUUUUUAAAUGAAUCAUUGCUUUACUACCAUGGAUCUCUAUGAUCAAGAUCUAUUUUGGUAACAUAAUAAAGUAACAUUAGUUGAA